GAAUUUAAGCAUAUAAGUAAGUGGUGGAAAUUAAACCAAAUGGGAUAUCUUUAGUAAUUGCGAAUGAACAAGGAUAUGCUUAGCUUGACAAAUGGAGCUAUUGGCUUUGAAUUGUAUUGUGGAAAUGUAUUACCAACAGAGGUGCAGGUGCCAGCCUAUUGAAAUAAAGCGUCAAUGAGGGUGAGAAUCCUGUUUGUCAUGUGCAGCCCUUUGUGCACGGUGUAUAUUUGCUGAGUCACACUCCUUGGCAUUGGAAUGCAAAGUGGGUGGUAAGUUUCAUGUAAAGGUAAACAUGCAAUUGAGACUGAUAGCACACAAGUACCAUGAGGGAAAUAUGAAAAGGWCUUUGAAAAGAGAAUUMAAUGAGUUUGUAUUUGCUGAACACAAAGUAAACAGACUUGAUUUGCUUGGUGGGAGUGUUGCACUUGCUUGACAAGAGCUUUGGGCUGUGGGUGUAAUGAUUCUUUCUUUGCAUGCCAGUUUCUAUUUGUACAUCUGAUUACCUUUGCACAUGAAUGAUAAGUCUCCUGUGGGGGGUGGAUUGCAUGUGCAUGUAAUGAUUUGUGUUUUGAUAAAUGUGUCUGGUGUAUGUGUGUGUGUUCCUGUGCUUGGGGAUGCUUCCUUCCUUGGACUUACAAGCCCUGACACACACAUGCUGGCAAAAUGCUUCUGCUUGACCCGUCUUGAAACACGGACCAAGGAGUCUAACAGAUGUGCAAAGUUUGAAGGUGGUAUACCUUUGUGUGCAAUGAAAGUGUCAGCUGGGAUAUGUGCACCAGCACCCAAUUAAUUAGCGGACAGAGGUUUGAGUUGGAGCAUAUCUAUUAGGACCCGAAAGAUGGUGAACUAUGCCUGAACAGAAUGAAUUCAGAGGAAACUCUGAUGGAGGUUCGUAUCGAUACUGACGUGCAAAUCGUUCGUCAUAUUUGGGUAUAGGGGCGAAAGACUAAUCGAACCAUCUAGUAGCUGGUUCCCUCCGAAGUUUCCCUCAGGAUAGCUGGAGUUGCUCAGUUUUAUCAGGUAAAGCGAAUGAUUAGAGGAAUUGGGGACAGGUUUGUCUUUGACCUAUUCUCAAACUUUAAAUGGGUAAUAUGUAGUGGUUGCUGUAUGGAACUUCUAAGAUAAAUGGCAAUAUUGGGUGGGCCAUUUUUGGUAAGCAGAACUGGCGAUGAGGGAUGAACCUAAUGUGGGGCUAAGGUGCUUAAUUACUUGCUCAUUUGAUACCAGAAAGGGUGUUGGUUCAUUUUAACAGCAGG
rnacentral:rRNA from 1 species